rnacentral:rRNA from 1 species
AGUGAGGAAGGUGGGUAUGUUAAUAGCAUACUCAUUUGACGUUAGCUGCAGAAGAAGCACCGGCUAACUCCGUGCCAGCAGCCGCGGUAAUACGGAGGGUGCGAGCGUUAAUCGGAAUUACUGGGCGUAAAGCGCAUGCAGGUGGUUUGUUAAGUCAGAUGUGAAAGCCCGGGGCUCAACCUCGGAAUUGCAUUUGAAAACUGGCAAACUAGAGUACUGUAGAGGGGGUAGAAGUUUCAGGUGUAGCGGUGAAAUGCGUAGAGAUCUGAAGGAAUACCGGUGGCGAAGGCGGCCCCCUGGACCAGAUACUGACACUCAGAUGCGAAAGCGUGGGGAGCAAACAGGAUUAGAUACCCUGGUAG